rnacentral:rRNA from 1 species
GAUGAACGCUGGCGGCGUGCCUAAUACAUGCAAGUCGAGCGAACGGACGAGAAGCUUGCUUCUCUGAUGUUAGCGGCGGACGGGUGAGUAACACGUGGAUAACCUACCUAUAAGACUGGGAUAACUUCGGGAAACCGGAGCUAAUACCGGAUGAUAUUUUGAACCGCAUGGUUCAAAAGUGAAAGACGGUCUUGCUGUCACUUAUAGAUGGAUCCGCGCUGCAUUAGCUAGUUGGUAAGGUAACGGCUUACCAAGGCAACGAUGCAUAGCCGACCUGAGAGGGGGAUCGGCCGCACUGGAAGUGGGACAGGGUCCAGGCGCAUACGGGAAGGAGCAGUAGGGAAUCUGCCGCAAUGGGCGAAAACCUGACGGAGCAACGCCGCGUGAGUGAUGAAGGUCUUCGGAGCGUAAAACUCUGUUAUUAGGGAAGAACAGAUGUGUAAGUAACUGUGCACAUCUUGACGGUACCUAAUCAGAAAGCCACGGCUAACUACGUG